rnacentral:rRNA from 1 species
UACGGGAGGCAGCAGUGGGGAAUAUUGGACAAUGGGGGCAACCCUGAUCCAGCCAUGCCGCGUGAGUGAAGAAGGCCNUAGGGUUGUAAAGCUCUUUCGCCAGGGAAGAUAGUGACGGUACCUGGUAAAGAAGUCCCGGCUANNNNNGNGNCAGCAGCCGCGGUAAUACGGAGGGGACUAGCGUUGUUCGGAAUUACUGGGCGUAAAGAGUACGUAGGCGGCUUGCCAAGUUGGGUGUGAAAGCCCGGGGCUCAACCCCGGAACUGCAUUCAAAACUGGNUGGCUAGAGAUCGGAAGAGGUAAGUGGAAUUCCCAGNGUAGANNNNAAAUUCGNNCNNNNGGGANCAGGCNNGNNUACGGGAGGCAGCAGGCUACACAUAUAUUGACGCUGAGGCACGAAAGCGUGGGGAUCAAACAGGAUUAGAUACCCUGGUAGUCCACGCCCUAAACGAUGGAUACUCGACAUACGCGAUACACUGUGUGUGUCUGAGCGAAAGCAUUAAGUAUCCCACCUGGGAAGUACGACCGCAAGGUUGAAACUCAAAUGAAUUGAC